rnacentral:sRNA from 1 species
UUUUUUGUUUGUUUUUUCGGGUUUUC